AUAUAAGUUUUUUGAAUGGGUGCCCGUUGGGUUCAAAGGGAAUCAGGUGUAACACCUGAGCGGUCGCGCCACUGUUACCGGGAGUUACCUUUCCAACAUGGCCACUGGAACCUGUAGUUCCGGGAAGGCGAAAGAGUAACUAUGAACGGGAGCCAGGAAACCUGCCUAUUCAAAAGCCGUGUA
rnacentral:ncRNA from 2 species